GACAGUCCAAGACGAGCGUCCAUGCGAAUCGCACGGCACGGAUUAUACGAUUCCCGAAUUUUUGAAUGCUCGCAAAAUACGCGCCUUUGACGAAUAUCCGUACUUCGUGCACACUCGCCUUAAGUUGGCGCGUUUUUAUUGCUCCGGCAAAAAGUAAAGUGUCUCAUCAUUCCGGCUGUUCCACGCUGUUUGGGGCAAGUGAAAUGUGCGCAUCGCAUCCGCUCGUUCCGGUUUUCAUCAUAACGUGACAACAAUUUUGAUUUGGCUGUGACGCGAGUGUUUGUGCCGUAACUAAAUACGGGUUUAUUGUGGUGGUUGGUCGCUACUUCUGCUACUGCUCCUGCUGCCUCACCAACUUUGACUAAUGAAUAAAAGUAGACAGUGCAAAAAGAAUUUGUGUGAGCGGCAAGAACAACAGUCAAAGGAAAAGUUCUAAGGGAGGCGUGAAAGGCGUUUUGGUUGCCAAGAUGCCUCUUCUGGCCCCAUUCAGCUGGCUCUGGCUAUGUCACUGGCUUUUGGCCUACUCCAGCCUCGCCCAGGCGCGCGUUGGAUACUUCUGGCACAUCAGUGACCUGCACCUUGACACCAUGUACUCCACCCGGGGUGACAUCUACCGGAGCUGCUGGCAGUUGGCUCGAUCGGUUUCCGGUACCGGUGGCAACAAUGCGGCUACAGAGGCACCUGGCACCUUUGGCCACUACAACUGCGACAGUCCGUGGAGCCUGAUCGAAUCGGCAGUGAAGACCAUGAAGGCCAAGCAGGGCGACAACGUGGAGUUCGUCCUGUGGACCGGAGACGCCCUCUCGCACUCUGCUCAGCCGCUGUCCGAGCAAAAGCAGCACGAGAUCCUGCAAAAUAUCACGGAUCUGCUGCGCAGGAGCUUCUCCUCGCAGUUCAUCUUCCCGGUUUUGGGUCACGAGGACGGUAGCGGCAGCUACCGAAGAUUGGGCGAACUGUGGCGCCACUGGCUGCCCUCCGAGGCGCUGGUGACCUUCGACCAAGGCGGCUACUACUCCAUCGAACAGACCAAGAGCCGGCUGCGAAUCGUGGCUCUAAAUACGAAUUUUAUGCGACUCGAAUCCGAUCCGGAUUCUAGGACAUCGCAUAGCUUGCGAUGGUCAUCUGAAUACUAUACGGAACCCAAGGCAUCCGUUAGCUCUAUUUCGGCCGAAGAUGAACUGCUGGCAGAGCAACAAUGGCUCUGGCUAGAGGAGGUCCUCACCAAGUCCAAGGAAAAACAGGAAACGGUCUACAUAGUGGGUCACAUGCCGCCGGGCGUGGACGAACGUCAUCUGGGGCCCCGGCACAGUCAGGUGACCUUCACGGAGCGGAAUAACCAACGCUACCUGGAGAUGGUCCGUAAAUUUGCCCCGGUCAUCCAGGGCCAGUUCUUCGGUCACCUGCACUCGGACACCUUCCGCCUGAUCUACGAUGCCAAAGGCAUUCCCAUUUCGUGGCUGAUGAUUGCCCCAUCGAUUGUGCCCCGCAAGGCCGGCAUCGGCUCAUCGAACAAUCCCGCCCUGAGGCUGUACAAGUUCGACACUGGGAGCGGCCAGGUGCUGGACUACACCCAGUUUUGGCUAGACCUGUCGCAGGCCAACCGGGCCGACGAGCCCACUUGGGUGCUGGAGUACAACCUGACGCAAUACUACGGCCUGACGGAGAUCUCCGCCGGAGCGCUGCACCAUUUCGCCGAGCGGUUUACGGGCACAGACCCAUCCUGGUUCUUCAGAUACCACCGAGCCAACACAGUGCGAUAUCAGACCGGGUCGGACUGCUCGGGCCGCUGCAUGCUCAAUCAUUACUGCGCCAUCACGCGCCUGGACUACGAUGAGUUCCGGGUCUGCUUGGAGAAGGAGCAGCUGGCGCUGCUGGGACACGCCCCCACCGCCCGAGCGCCCACAUCCUGGAGCUGGCUGCUCGGCGUGCUCGGCGCUUUUUAUGGCCUCCACACAGGGUGGGUGGCCGGGCGAUGCAACAAUUGCCACAUCCAGCGAAUUUAAGCGUUCUCGCUUAAGCGGAACCAUAUCAAAGUGGGGUUGAGCCCCAGGAUGCGCACUCAGUCACUCAGAAAUAUAAAUCGUCCUUAAAUACAAAAAUUAGGACACAUUUUAUUUUUUCAAAAUUGACGUAUAUUUUAACAAGGUACGAUUUUUUCUUUUCUGAGUGUACCGAUGGUCAUAUAGAUAGAAAUGGAAAUAGGAAUGUGAGAGCAAAAAAGGACGAGAAGGAGGAUGACUUGCUGAACGGGCUGAGCAAUUCCUAUAUACAAGUAUAGCGCUAAUUUACUCUCAAUUA